UUGGGAAUCUUGGACAAUGGAGGAAACUCUGAUCCAGCCAUGCCGCGUGAGUGAUGAAGGCCUUCGGGUUGUAAAACUCUUUCGACGGGGACGAUAAUGACGGUACCCGUAGAAGAAGCUCCGGCUAACUUCGUGCCAGCAGCCGCGGUAAUACGAAGGGGGCUAGCGUUGUUCGGAAUUACUGGGCGUAAAGCGCGCGCAGGCGGCCAUUCAAGUCAGGGGUGAAAGCCCGGAGCUCAACUCCGGAACUGCCUUUGAAACUGUUUGGCUUGAGUACGGGAGAGGUGAGUGGAAUUCCCAGUGUAGAGGUGAAAUUCGUAGAUAUUGGGAAGAACACCGGUGGCGAAGGCGGCUCACUGGCCCGUUUCUGACGCUCAGGCGCGACAGCGUGGGGAUCAAACAGGAUUAGAUACCCCCGUAGUCC
rnacentral:rRNA from 1 species